rnacentral:rRNA from 1 species
CGGGAGGCCAACUAGGACCGCCUCCGACGACGAUAACCUUAAGCUGAUUCGGUACGCUCAGUUCCACAGAAGCCUGCGGCCGUAUGCCGAGUCAUUGUGCAUCCAUUGGAUGGGAGUCCUGACUCUAUUGGGGCCCUUUGACCCCGAUUAUAAUCUAUCUAUUUUCUAUGACCUUACAAGAAAAUAAGUUUCGAAAACGCGGACUCCUACCCGGACGCGGGCUAAUCCAACAACCACCCCAUUACCGGGUGGUUCGGAUACUAGCCAUGCCCGUCACCCUCGACUUCGGGCCUCAACCCCUGACUCUGUUCCGGGGUCCGGGAUGCCCCGCGUCGUCCGCGCUUUGGAGACGUUACGCCCUUUGGCACUGACCCCUUAAGGUUCACGAGUACGUAACGUACCCGACAAGAAACCAGAUUCAUUGGUCUCCUCAUUCCCGACCCGUUCUGG